UACGGAGGGGGCUAGCGUUGUUCGGAAUUAUUGGGCGUAAAGAGCUCGUAGGCGGCUUGUCGCGUCGGCUGUGAAAACCCGGGGCUCAACCCCGGGCCUGCAGUCGAUACGGGCGAGCUAGAGUUCGGCAGGGGAGACUGGAAUUCCUGGUGUAGCGGUGAAAUGCGCAGAUAUCAGGAGGAACACCGAUGGCGAAGGCAGGUCUCUGGGCCACUACUGACGCUGAGAAGCGAAAGCAUGGGGAGCGAACAGG
rnacentral:rRNA from 1 species